CUCAAGGAGAGGGGACUGCGACUCCCCGUCUGGCAGGGAGGGGUACCAGGGAAUUCCUGUACCUCUUUCUUUUGACAGUCCCGCAGCUCUCCCCGAGCAGGGGCUGGGGCGGAAGCCGGGGCUGUCCCCCUGCGCGUGGGACACAGGCGACUGCAGCCCGCUCCCGCGCUCAGACUUCCGUCAGAGAGCGCGUGCCGUCCGGGGCCGGGACGCUGUGUCCCGGCAGCCCUUAUACGCCAUCAGCUGGAGUGAAGACAGCGAAAGCGCCAGGCUGCCUGCCAGUGGCCUGCAUUGUCACUUCUGCUCCUUUAGAACAGGUCCAGACCUCUCGCGUUUUAUUCUUUCUCUCUCUGUCAGGACCGAGACCAGUGUGGAGGGGCCGCAUCUGAGGACAGCACCCGCUCGUGCGCAGGCCGGGGGAGGCUUUCUGGAACGAGGCGGGAGGCCUUUCUGAGUUGGGGUCUCUUCUGCUGCCACCUGCCUUCCCACGAAAGCGGGAUGGAGGCUGUGUCCCGGCCUCCGGGACCUCACUGCGUGGGAAGAAAGGCCAAGUUGCCGGGGACCCUCCCGCUGCCAGAUGAGGAAAACUGAGGUUCAGGAAGGACUCAGGCUUUGCAUCCCUGACGAGUUAUGAGCUCUGUGAGGGAGAAACCGUGUCUCCUACUUCUUCUGCUCCCACUACACACCCCACAAAGUACUGCGCACAGAGCAGAGGCUGGGAGUGAAACAAAAGCCAGCAGCACAGGAGGUCAGAGCCGAGCGUGGGGCCUGGCCUCCCGUGCAGAGCAGUCUAUCGCUCACUUACAAGCAGUGCACCGCCGUGCGGCCUUCGCCACCGUUGUAUUCCUCCUGCCACUUGUCCACUUGGCGGAUGAGCUUCAAGAAGGAGCGCUUGGACACCGGUGUGUCCCGGUACAUUGGCCAGCCCAGGAACUGGAACUGCUGUACCAUCCGAUAUCCAUCCUGAGGCUACAGAGAACCAGACAACAAGCAGGGAGAGGAAAGAAAACAGGCAAUACUCACUCUGUUGAAUUCCAGUGGGCUGAUUCCACCUACUCGAUCUUCUCACCAACACAGGUCAUUACUAAAGGAGAGUCCUGCCUACAAAUAACAAAGGUAGCUGCUACUGGCCUGCAGAGUUAGGGUUUUUAAUCUUGAGCUGUUAUUAAAAAACAGGCAUUUUUAUGUGACAGGCCAGACAAAUAAGAGUGAAGCAGAAUGCUUACCAUUUUGCAAAAUCCUAGUGAAAAAUCACACACAACAAAAGCAUCGACCAUACUGUGCAUUAAGUGGUUAAAUGGCUUUA